rnacentral:rRNA from 1 species
AUUGAACGCUGGCGGCAGGCCUAACACAUGCAAGUCGAACGAGUGGCGGACGGGUGAGUAAUGUCUGGGAAACUGCCCGAUGGAGGGGGAUAACUACUGGAAAAGGUAGCUAAUACCGCAUACCAGCGGAUGUGCCCAGAUGGGAUUCGCUAGUAGGUGGGGUAACGGCUCACCUAGGCGACUAUCCCUAGCUGGUCUGAGAGGAUGACCAGCCAGACUGGAACUGAGACACGUUCCAGACUCCUACGGGAGGCAGCAGUGGGGAAUAUUGCACAAUGGGCGCAAGCCUGAUGCAGCCAUGCCGCGUGUAUGAAGAAGGCCUUAGGGUUGUAAAGUACUUUCAGCGGGGAGGCGUUACCCGCAGAAGAAGCACCGGCUAACUCCGUGCCAGCCGCCGCGGUAAUUC